rnacentral:rRNA from 1 species
AGGACGAACGCUUGCGACGUGCCUAAGAAAUGCAAGUCGAACGGACCAGCAGCAAUGCUGGUUAGUGGCGAACGGUCGCGUAACACGUGGGCAACCUGCCCUGAAGCGGGGGACAACAACUCGAAAGAGUUGCUAAUACCGCAUGUGUAUCGCUGUGGCAUCACAGAGGAUACAAAGCCGCAAGGCACUUCAGGAUGGGCCCGCGGCCUAUCAGCUAGUUGGUGAGGUAACGGCCCACCAAGGCUUCGACGGGUAGCUGGUCUGAGAGGACGAUCAGCCGGAUUGGGACUGAGAUACGGCCCAGACUCCUACGGGGGGCAGGCAAUUAGGAAUCUUGCGCAAUGGGCGAAAGCCUGACGCAGCGACGUCGCGUGAAGGAUGAAAUCUUUCGGGAUGUAAACUUCUUUUACCAGGGAAGAAUAAUGACGGUACCUGGUGAAUAAGCCCGGCUAACUACGUGCCAGCAGCCGCGGU